GCCUGGGUGGCUGAGUGGGUUAAAGCCUCUGAUUUAAGCUCAGGUCAUUAUCCCAGGAUCCUGGGAUCGAGCCCCACAUCAGGCU
rnacentral:tRNA from 1 species